UUCUACGGCCAUACCACCCUGAACGCGCCCAAUCUCGUCUGAUCUCAGAAGCUAAGCAGGGUCGGGCCUGGUUAGUACUUGGAUGGGAGGAAUGAUUAUAAUAGUAUCUGUUUCAUAGGAU
ensembl:rRNA 5S_rRNA 5S ribosomal RNA